GUUCACAGUUUGUAAAGCAAACCAGUUUCUUAAACGUUUAUAAACACGUUUUAAUUAAAUGAAUGACACAUGUGGAAUUACAUAUAAUAUAAAUAUAAUGUUCUGUUUGGUUGAAACGUCUUCCAUUCACAUCCACUCACUGGAACGCAUCACCUGCAUGUGUGCUUCCGCGAAAGCACAAAAACGUUCGGUGGCACUAGUCUGUGUGUGGCAGGCUGCAACCCUAUUUUAAUAUUUUAGAAUUCUAAUGAAAAUGACAGACAUAUUCUUAAGAAAUCAAAGUUUCGUGUUUUUUGUAAGGGUUCUUAUUAUGAUGCUAUAAUAUUAUAUAAGUGGUAUGAAAUGCUUUCAAAAUGAUGACAAUAUCAUUUAUCAAAAUCCUUUCAGGGAAAACUAUUUUUUUUAAACUAAUGGCACUCUCCAUCCUUUUGCAGGUGAAUUUUAUCAUCAACCAUACGUGUUUUUUUAGCACGACUUCCCAAAACUUUAUAUAUUGUAACUGUGACAACCUUCUGCCUCCUUCAUUGAGCUGGCACUGCUGAGCCUUCAUAUGAUUGGAAUGUGGCAUUGUAAAGGUUGCAGUUCAAAGACUUCUACUAGGGGCCAGUUACUUAAACAUUAUAGGUUAAAACAUCCACAUUAUGGGCGCAGGCACCCAUAUCCUUGCCCAUAUAUCAAUUGUCCAUGUACAUUUAAAUCAUGGAAUGCACUUAGGUCACAUGUCUGCAGAGCUCAUCAUAGAGAGACAUCUCGACAAACAUUAUCAUUGGCCACAUUCACCUGUCAUGUUUGUGGGUUCUCUGAAGUUGCCUCUGAAAAGGAGUAUUUUGCACACGUACAUUUGCAUCUCAAAGCCAAUGAAACAGUACCUUGUAUGUUCAACAGUUGUACUUUCACGACAAACAUUUACGGGACAUUUAAAUCGCAUAAAAAUAGAAAGCACCACGGCUACUCUUCCAAUAACUUUAAACCUGGCAUAGUUGUAGUAAGAGACGGGUUUGAAAGUGCAAGUCUUUCACGUGAAAAUGAAUGCAAUGAAAUAUUGGAAGAACCCGAGCUAGAGGAGCAGUCAAGUUUUCAGACAGAUGUCUCAGAAAAUUUUGAGGAAGUGAUAGAAGAAAAAUUUGCAGCAGUGUUGCUUAAGCUGGAAAACAUACUUCAUGUUCCCAGCAGUGCAGUUGAUGAACUUUUACAGGACUUGCACUUCCUGAUGAGUUCUGCAUCCCUGACUCCAUUAAAUGCCAUUGUUUCAGAUUUUUGUACUAAGCAUCAUCUUGAUCUGAAUGCAGCAGAAAUUGAGGAACUGGCCUCUGCUGUCUGCAUCUCUAACCCCUUGAUAAAAUCAAUUGGGGAUCAAGGCCCAUUUUGCACUGCUUUUAAGCGGAAACAGUACUUCAAAAACAAGUCCCAAGUAGUUGAACCAGUUGAAUAUGUUUUGGAUGGAGAGCGCAACCAUACCUACCAGUAUGUACCCCUAUUGCAGUCACUGCAGCAGCUUUUAAGCAAAGACGGUAUAACAGAUGAUGUUGUAGAAAACUAUAGUGCUCACUCAAAUGAAACGUCACAGAAAGAGUACAAGUCAUUUCAGGAUGGAGAGUUUUUCAAACAAAAUCAUUUCCUGUCUGCAGGGGAAAUGAGAAUAUGUGUGACCCUUUACAUUGAUGACUUUGAAGUGUGCAACCCCCUGGGCACUUCCAGAAAGAAGCACAAACUUUGCGCGAUAUACUGGAUUUUGAGCAACUUAUCCCCAGGCCAGCAUUCGUCUUUAUCAUCCAUCUACUUGGCAUUACUGUGUAAAAGUAGCUACAUCAAAGAAUAUGGCUAUGGAAAAGUGCUUGAACCUCUAUUGCGUGAUCUGGUUGUCUUGGAGGAGCAUGGGGUGUUUGUCCCACAAAUUGGAAAAAAUAUUAAAGGCACAGUACAAUGUGUGGCAGCAGACAAUCUGGGGGCCCAUGGCAUUGCAGGCUUUGUGGAGAGUUUUUCAGGAGAAUAUGUCUGUCGAUUUUGUAGAGGACGUUCUAGUGACUUUCAAACCCAGCCGGUUCUGUCUGGUGACUUUAGUCUUCGAUCCAAAGACAGACAUAAAGAAGAUGUUAAACAUGCAGUGGAGAGUGGAAAGCCAUGUGUUGGAGUGAAAAGGCCAUGUGUGUUGACAGAAAAUCUUGCUCAUUUCGAUGUAACAACUGGAUACCCCCAUGACAUACUUCAUGAUCUAUUGGAGGGUGUUGUUCCAGUAGAACUUGCACAGUGUCUGGGUAUUUUAAUAUCCAAAAAAUACUUCUCUUUGGACUCUCUAAAUAAAGUGAUUCUCAGUUUUCCCUACAAAGGAGAAGAUAAGACAAACCGUCCCCAUAUUGUGCCACUAGCUUUUUUAAGGAAAAACACAAUAGGUGGCAACGCAGCGGAAAAUUGGACUCUGUUAAGAUUGCUGCCUUUCAUGGUUGGAGAUGUUAUACCUGAUGGUGAACCGGUGUGGGCGAUAAUAUUGGAUUUAAAAGAGAUAGUGGAACUUGCUGUUGCCCAGAUCCACACAGAAGAAUCCAUUGGAUAUCUUCAGUUCAAAAUUUCUGAUCACAGACAGAAAUAUCAAGAAGUAUUUCCAAACCGAAAACUUUUACCAAAGCAUCACUACUUGGAGCACUACCCUCACAUGAUCCAAUGUUUCGGUCCUUUAGUUGGAGUCUGGACCAUGCGAUUUGAGGGAAAACACAGUUUUUUUAAGGAAGUUGCACGUCACACCAAGUGUUUCAAAAACAUUGCACUCACACUGUCAAGGAAACACCAGCUGAUGAUUGCCUAUCACAUAAACUCAUUACGUCCACAGAAACCUGGAGUUCAAGUGUCAAGUAUAUCAAGAGUUCCUCUUGAUGUGCUGAGAGAUGAUCUAUUAUUGCUUAUCCAGCAGAUGUACCCAAACAUGGCCGAAAUACACAUGGCAAAAAGUGCAGACUUUAAGGGGAUCAAUUAUAGAAAUGGAAUGAUAGUCAUCUGUAGAUUUACUGAUGGGCUACCUGAAUUCGGAGAGAUAAUAAGGAUAUGUGUAGUUCAGGAUACAUUGAAUUUCAUUGUCAGGGCAUUCUCAGCUUGGUUUAGGGAGCACUACCGGGCCUUUGAACUGCAACCAUGUCCAACUCGCAAAAUGUCCCUGAUAUCACAUGAAGAACUCGCAGAGAAGUACCCAUUACAUGACUACUUCAUUGGACCCCUUCGACUGGUUACGUUUAAAAGAUAUCCUUAUAUCAAAAGCGUAUGUUGAAUAUCAUGCGCACCUAAUACCUGUCAUCUUUUCCACUUGGACAAGCUGUAUAGUGAAUACUUUUAACACUGUGACCAAAGCGUUUGGAUGAUGGCUGCCCCAGUCAAACUGCGGAUUAUUCUUGGUGCCAACAAUGCGGAAAAACUGACCAUAGAAUCGGGCAUGCCGGAGUCUGUGGAGGAUCUUUCAAAUGAGAUCAAACGUCAAUUUCUUAUCGACGGGGACAUUAGACUUCAGUACAUGGACAGUGACUUUGAUAAUAAUUUUGUUAACCUCAGCCAAAUUAGCGAUAUUCAAGACAGGGGCACAGUGAAAGUCAUCUGUAUGUCGGAUGCUACAGACCUCAACCAAGGCAACAUUAACCAGAGUGGGGAAGACACUUCUUCGUCAUCUUCUACAAUAAUACUCUCCAGCCCUGAUUCGCAAACUGCUCGAUCACAGUGGCCAACAACAUUCCAAAUCCCAAAGUUUCCAUAUGAUGUGGAGAUUCAACUUGAAGGCGCAAACCAGGCCUUCUUAUCAGAUGGAGUUUUUUUUAACCCGGGUUACAAACUCAAAUCGGACAUCUUAGAAAGUCUUGCUGAGCAAAUCAUUAAGUUCAAAGCAUAUCCUUCAAACUUAGAAAUAGAAGAUGUUGCUGAAGCUUUAAUCAAAGCACAUCCAUGUUUGAGGGAACAAGGAUCAUUUAAUGGUUUUUAUGGAUGGAAAAUAAGCCUUAAGUACAAGAUGGCAAACUAUAGGACAAAGCUUAGAAACUUAGGAUGCCAAGAACUAAGCAUUAAUUCGCUUAAGCACAAACCCACAGAUAGAUGCCAGCCUGCCUAUAAUGUCAAGAAACCCAGAAAGGCAGAGGUCAACUUUUGUCCUUCCUAUCCUGCUGGGGAGACCCAGGACAGCCUUGAGGGUGAAAGAUUGGCAUUGUUAUCUGAGGUCAAGAAGAGACAUAACGAAAAAGUAGUCAAAGAGAAGAUGGCCAAGACAUUUGCAUACAGGAGGCAGGAGGUCGUCAGAGACAAGCCAAUGUUGGCAGAGUUCAAGAUCAGAUGGCCAGGACUCUUCACUGUUGCAGAGGUAUGAAAUGUUUCUAAAAUAUGCGUUAGUAUGCAAAUUAUUAGUCUCACGACAAGGUUGGAUGUUUUAGUAGGUGCAAAUAAUAAGUUGGGUUUUGUGGAGAUUAUGUUUUCAGGUGGAGGCAGAAUUUGUGAGGAUUACUACUGCUCCUCUUGUCUCGAAGUUCCUUGCCCAACUGGACCAACACACUGCUCAGCUCAUAAAAGUGUUUGAGAAGAAAGGAGGCUCUGCUGGGAUGAAAAUCAGAAAAAUGUUGGCUCCAAUCACACAGGAUGAAACUGUUGAAAAGAGGAGGGAGUGUACCCUCAGGGCGCUCUGUGUCUACCUGAACGAAGACCCAAACAUCCUGUUUAAAGAAUACCUGAGGAUACUGAUGCUGUUGAGAGGGAGCUUCAACACAUUAUUCUCGGCAUCUACAGCAUCAAUGUUGAGGGAGGUGAUGCCACCACUUCUCCAGCCGAUGUUGGAAUAGUGAUCGAGGGUGUUGAAGUUCUGCAUGACCUGAGAGACAUUGUCUCUGCAUCUGCACUUAUGAUGGGAUUUAUAUAUGCACUGAACCUUAGUUAUCCUAAGGAACUGAAAGCCUUCUUUGAAGUGCUUCAGAAGGUCUUCCUUCAACUUGAUGCAUCAAGACUUUCAAGCAAGGUACAGAUGCUCAAGAACAAACUCUAUGAAUAAGCAACCAUUUGUACGAUGCUGAAUGUUCUCCAAAAUGCUAAAAUUAAUGUUUUGUUAGAUGUUACUAACUAAUGUUAUUACUAUGUUUGUUAGAUGUUCAUACAAACAUAAAAAUUGGUUGCUGUUGGACCAUGUUGCAAUGCAGAGUGGUGGUGAUGACAGUGCCUGCCAUCAAACACCAUCUCAGGUGAACCCAUGAGAGAGAAGUGUCUGUGGGGAGUUCAUACGUUUGUAAUAACAGCAGGAAAGGAAAGAGAGGAUUGAACCACAGAACAGUGCUACUGUUCAACUGACAAAGUAACUUUAGAAUUUAAUUUAAUUAAAAAAACUACAGGAAGAUGCUACAUGGUUUAAGAGACUGACUAAAGAAAUGCCUGAUAACAGAUUAUAAUGAUAAGGAGCUAGUGGAGCACAUGGUUAGUGGAGCACAUAUUCCUGCACAUGCAUGAUGUCAUGACUUUAGCUUGCUGUUUGAUGUCGGAGGUAAAUAGUGUUUGGUGGGUUUUUACAGCUUUGAAACAAAUGCUCUGCAGGGAAGCUGGAUACUCGGAGGAUAGUUUUCGCUCUGUUUGUGGCUGUGGGGAUAUCUUUGACAUAUUAGCCACAUAUAGUCUUUGGAUCCAUUGUUCAUAUAAAACGUGGAUUAUAGCUGCUUUAAAUAUCAAGGUAACACAUUUCUUUAAGUGAUAAACUGUGAGUCACAAAAAGUCAUUUUCUUCCAUUAUACCUCUGCAGCACAACACGCUGGGAUUUAAGAAUACAGUAUAAUCCUGUACCACAGCCAAACAUUUUCAGUAUAUGCAUAUUGUAUAUUUGUAGGGCAACAAAAAACUUGUUAUUGUAUAUGUAUCGGUUAACACAGAUAUAUCUGUGAUAGGCCAUUGUCGGCCGAUUGUAUUAUAUAUCAUAGAUAUAUAUAUAUAUAUAUUCUGCAGCAUUAAUUAACAUGUUAUGUUAUUUUCUCCACAAUGCUAAAAUGAAUGUUCAUACAAAUUGUUGUUUGCUGUUGGACCAUGUUGCAAUGUUUUAAUAAAAAGUAAAAAAAAAAAAAAUUGGUUGUACCCAAUUAAUUUGUGUGGAACCAGUUGACAAAAUAGGAUUAUGUUAAAGUAAUUCAUAAAAAUUACAUUGGAUGAACACUGUUAAGUUAAUUGACCUUAAAUGUAUUAUAUUACAACUACAAAUAAGAUAUAUGUAAACUGUAAAUAUAUUAUUUAAGUCCAUAUAACAUAACUUGCUUAAAUUGAGUGAACGUAAAUUAUUUAAAUUGGGUGAGCGUAAAUUACUUAAAUUGGGUGAACAUACAUAACUUAAAUUGGGUGAAUGUAAAUAUAUCCUGUUGAUCUGAAGUUAUGCUUUUGAGUUGGAACAACUCAUUAUUAUUGCAUUACUGUAAUUCAAGUUUAUUAAUUUGGAUGAAACUAAUAAUUUAGCUUUCAUCUAACCUAAUAUAAUUGCGUGGAACCUGUUGACAAAAUAAAUUUAAUUAAAGUCAACAAAUCAUUUUUU